UUAAGCGACUAAGCGUACACGGUGGAUGCCCUGGCAGUCAGAGGCGAUGAAGGGCGUGCUAAUCUGCGAUAAGCGCCGGUAAGGUGAUAUGAACCGUUAUAACCGGCGAUACCCGAAUGGGGAAACCCAGUGUGAUUCGUCACACUAUCAUUAACUGAAUCCAUAGGUUAAUGAGGCGAACCGGGGGAACUGAAACAUCUAAGUACCCCGAGGAAAAGAAAUCAACCGAGAUUCCCCCAGUAGCGGCGAGCGAACGGGGAGGAGCCCAGAGCCUGAAUCAGCAUGUGUGUUAGUGGAAGCGUCUGGAAAGGCGCGCGAUACAGGGUGACAGCCCCGUACACAAAAGCGCAUGUGCUGUGAGCUCGAUGAGUAGGGCGGGACACGUGGUAUCCUGUCUGAAUAUGGGGGGACCAUCCUCCAAGGCUAAAUACUCCUGACUGACCGAUAGUGAACCAGUACCGUGAGGGAAAGGCGAAAAGAACCCCGGCGAGGGGAGUGAAAAAGAACCUGAAACCGUGUACGUACAAGCAGUGGGAGCACCCUUCGGGGUGUGACUGCGUACCUUUUGUAUAAUGGGUCAGCGACUUAUAUUCUGUAGCAAGGUUAACCGUAUAGGGGAGCCGGAGGGAAACCGAGUCUUAACCGGGCGUUAAGUUGCAGGGUAUAGACCCGAAACCCGGUGAUCUAGCCAUGGGCAGGUUGAAGGUUGGGUAACACUAACUGGAGGACCGAACCGACUAAUGUUGAAAAAUUAGCGGAUGACCUGUGGCUGGGGGUGAAAGGCCAAUCAAACCGGGAGAUAGCUGGUUCUCCCCGAAAGCUAUUUAGGUAGCGCCUCGUGAAUUCAUCUCCGGGGGUAGAGCACUGUUUCGGCUAGGGGGCCAUCCCGGCUUACCAACCCGAUGCAAACUGCGAAUACCGGAGAAUGUUAUCACGGGAGACACACGGCGGGUGCUAACGUCCGUCGUGAAGAGGGAAACAACCCAGACCGCCAGCUAAGGUCCCAAAGUCAUGGUUAAGUGGGAAACGAUGUGGGAAGGCCCAGACAGCCAGGAUGUUGGCUUAGAAGCAGCCAUCAUUUAAAGAAAGCGUAAUAGCUCACUGGUCGAGUCGGCCUGCGCGGAAGAUGUAACGGGGCUAAACCAUGCACCGAAGCUGCGGCAGCGAACGUAUCACCCAAGACAACUUUACGGAGUUGACGAUUGACGGAGCGAAGCGACGUCAAAGCGUUCAUUAAAGUCGAGUUGGCUUAGGGAUACGUUCGUUGGGUAGGGGAGCGUUCUGUAAGCCUGUGAAGGUGUGUCGUGAGGCAUGCUGGAGGUAUCAGAAGUGCGAAUGCUGACAUAAGUAACGAUAAAGCGGGUGAAAAGCCCGCUCGCCGGAAGACCAAGGGUUCCUGUCCAACGUUAAUCGGGGCAGGGUGAGUCGACCCCUAAGGCGAGGCCGAAAGGCGUAGUCGAUGGGAAACGGGUUAAUAUUCCCGUACUUGGUGUUACUGCGAAGGGGGGACGGAGAAGGCUAUGUUGGCCGGGCGACGGUUGUCCCGGUUUAAGCGUGUAGGUGUGUGUUCCAGGUAAAUCCGGUUCACUUUAACACUGAGGCGUGACGACGAGGCACUACGGUGCUGAAGCAACAAAUGCCCUGCUUCCAGGAAAAGCCUCUAAGCAUCAGGUAACACGAAAUCGUACCCCAAACCGACACAGGUGGUCAGGUAGAGAAUACCAAGGCGCUUGAGAGAACUCGGGUGAAGGAACUAGGCAAAAUGGUGCCGUAACUUCGGGAGAAGGCACGCUGACACGUAGGUGAAGUGAUUUACUCAUGGAGCUGAAGUCAGUCGAAGAUACCAGCUGGCUGCAACUGUUUAUUAAAAACACAGCACUGUGCAAACACGAAAGUGGACGUAUACGGUGUGACGCCUGCCCGGUGCCGGAAGGUUAAUUGAUGGGGUCAGCGUAAGCGAAGCUCCUGAUCGAAGCCCCGGUAAACGGCGGCCGUAACUAUAACGGUCCUAAGGUAGCGAAAUUCCUUGUCGGGUAAGUUCCGACCUGCACGAAUGGCGUAAUGAUGGCCAGGCUGUCUCCACCCGAGACUCAGUGAAAUUGAACUCGCUGUGAAGAUGCAGUGUACCCGCGGCAAGACGGAAAGACCCCGUGAACCUUUACUAUAGCUUGACACUGAACAUUGAGCCUUGAUGUGUAGGAUAGGUGGGAGGCUUUGAAGUGUGGACGCCAGUCUGCAUGGAGCCGACCUUGAAAUACCACCCUUUAAUGUUUGAUGUUCUAACGUGGACCCGUAAUCCGGGUUGCGGACAGUGUCUGGUGGGUAGUUUGACUGGGGCGGUCUCCUCCUAAAGAGUAACGGAGGAGCACGAAGGUUGGCUAAUCCUGGUCGGACAUCAGGAGGUUAGUGCAAUGGCAUAAGCCAGCUUGACUGCGAGCGUGACGGCGCGAGCAGGUGCGAAAGCAGGUCAUAGUGAUCCGGUGGUUCUGAAUGGAAGGGCCAUCGCUCAACGGAUAAAAGGUACUCCGGGGAUAACAGGCUGAUACCGCCCAAGAGUUCAUAUCGACGGCGGUGUUUGGCACCUCGAUGUCGGCUCAUCACAUCCUGGGGCUGAAGUAGGUCCCAAGGGUAUGGCUGUUCGCCAUUUAAAGUGGUACGCGAGCUGGGUUUAGAACGUCGUGAGACAGUUCGGUCCCUAUCUGCCGUGGGCGCUGGAGAACUGAGGGGGGCUGCUCCUAGUACGAGAGGACCGGAGUGGACGCAUCACUGGUGUUCGGGUUGUCAUGCCAAUGGCACUGCCCGGUAGCUAAAUGCGGAAGAGAUAAGUGCUGAAAGCAUCUAAGCACGAAACUUGCCCCGAGAUGAGUUCUCCCUGAGACUUAGAGUCUCCUGAAGGAACGUUGAAGACGACGACGUUGAUAGGCCGGGUGUGUAAGCGCAGCGAUGCGUUGAGCUAACCGGUACUAAUGAACCGUGAGGCUUAACCUU
rnacentral:rRNA from 3 species